UACGUAGGGUGCAAGCGUUGUCCGGAAUCAUUGGCGUAAAGAGCUCGUAGGCGGUCUGUCGCGUCUGCUGUGAAAACCUGGGGCUUAACCCUGGGCUUGCAGUGGGUACGGGCAGACUAGAGUGCGGUAGGGGAGACUGGAAUUCCUGGUGUAGCGGUGAAAUGCGCAGAUAUCAGGAGGAACACCGGUGGCGAAGGCGGGUCUCUGGGCCGUAACUGACGCUGAGGAGCGAAAGCAUGGGUAGCGAACAGG
rnacentral:rRNA from 1 species